GGCAGAAAUGUCAAGUCUUGAAUGAAAAGGGGUAAUACUGGAUGCAUAAAACCAUAGGCAGGAUGCAGGAGAAGAGUUGAAAGAGAGUCAGCACUGACUACCUGAUUUGAAGACCCCUCUCUGUACACCGUAAAAAUGAGACACUCGUGCUGUAAUUGCGAAGAGCUUCAAAAGAGGAAAAAGGCAUUCAAGGAAAGGAGAAGAGGAGGAAAAUGCAAAGAGAAAUGGAACAGAAGCAAGGCCAAUCAUCCUCACUUAUGUGUGAGCAGAGCUGGGGGAGGCACUCUUCAUGCUUCCUUAGCAGGAGAAUAUCCCUCUUCAAAUGUGCAGAAAACCUCUGAGCCAUGACCUUCACGACACCCCUCCUCAUGGACACAAAUCAGGAAGGCAAAACUCACAGUAAAAUGGAAAAAUCAUAAAUAAAAUG
rnacentral:sRNA from 1 species